rnacentral:rRNA from 1 species
UCUCCUACGGGUGGCAGCAGCAAGGAAUUUUCCGCAAUCGACGCAAGUCGGACGGAGCAACGCCGCGUGCGGGAAGAAGGCCCUCGGGUUGUAAACCGCUUUUGUGAGGGAAGAAGAUCUGACGGUACCUCACGAAUAAGUCACGGCUAACUACGUGCCAGCAGCCGCGGUAAUACGUAGGUGGCGAACGUUGUCCGGAUUCACUGGGCGUAAAGCGCGCGCAGGCGGGUUGGUAAGUCUGAGGUGAAAGCUCCCGGCUCAACUGGGAGAAGCCCUUGGAUACUGCCAGCCUUGAGACACUUAGAGGAGAGUGGAAUUCCCGGUGUAGUGGUGGAAUGCGUAGAUAUCGGGAGGAACACCAGUGGCGAAAGCGACUCUCUGGGAGUGUUCUGACGCUGAGGCGCGAAAGCGUGGGGAGCAAACCGGAUUAGAUACCCUGGUAGUCCGC